GAAAUGCGAUAAGUAGUGUGAAUUGCAGAAUUCAGUGAAUCAUCGAAUCUUUGAACGCACAUUGCGCCCCUUGGUAUUCCAUGGGGCAUGCCUGUUCGAGCGUCAUUUGUACCCUCAAGCUUUGCUUGGUGUUGGGCGUCUUGUCGCAUAGCGACUCGCCUUAAAUGCAUUGGCAGCCGGCACUUUGGCCUAGGAGCGCAGCACAUUUUGCGAUCGUAGCCCGUUGUACUGGCGUCCAUCAAGAACAUUUACCACGUUUGACCUCGGAUCAGGUAGGGAUACCCGCUGAACUUAAGC
rnacentral:misc_RNA from 1 species